rnacentral:lncRNA from 1 species
UUGAAUAGCCUAUAUUUUGUUUCCAAUUAUACUCUGAACUAUGUACUGAUAUCUAAAUGGAAUCCACAGAGUUUCAGAUUUUUUUUAUGACUUUUCAAACAUUGUGUAAUAUAAUCAAAUCGAUCAGUAAUCACUGACAUGUAGAACAUGGUCACUUGAUAUGGGACUUCCCAAAACAGAAAGGUCACUCAAAUUGGGACGG